ACCCUCCAGUUCCCUUUUCCAUCAGAUCUAAACACAAGUCUGGAUGGUUUUAAAAGGAGGGAAAGUAAUACUGUGAUUGUAGUCUGCUUUAUUGCAUGUGGAUUCAUUUCAAACGAGG